GAGAUGACAGCUACUUACUCCAUAACCUGGUUAGUCUAUAUUGGAGCUGAUUACAUUUCAAACGGGUCAUUAUCUAAAUUUGACAGGCUGUGUGAGAAAAAAUAGGUAAUCACAGCCAGACAGAUCCAGUCUUUUACUGUAAAAGUAGAUAUCAACUCCAUUAAUGUUAACACAGGGCUGGGAAUCCUCGCUUAAAAGUAAUCUGUAUGCAAUUAUAUGAUUUCAAGCUGAAAAUGUAUUAAUAAUUAAGUGAAAACCAAAUGAUCAUUAUUACUGUUUAAUGUAUAAUUGUGGUUUUCUGCCUAUGAGUACAAAUUUUCAUUUAUUUUUGCAGCACUAAUAAGGAAAAUGACUAAGUUUGCUAUGAAAUUAGAAUAUGUUAAACAGACAUUCACAAAAGUCAGGUACCAUUAUCCAUGUUCUUCCCACACAUAAACGUCCUUCUCUAUCACUCAAACCUUUAUAUAAAAAAAGUGCACAUCAUCUCCAAGGAAGUGUAGUAAACUGUUUGAGGUAUGUUAACAAGACCUCCCCUUUCUAACACAUUUCACUCAGCCUGUCACUUUACAGAAAAUGAAAUGAUGUCCUUGUCAUCCUUUCUUCCAGACCAGAGAUAUUUCCUUAUUAGGAGUGCAGGAAGAAGCAAGGUUGGAAGACUUAUCCGAAGUAUGAUGUGUGAUGCAGAAUGAAUGACACUUUUAAUAAACACUGAAGAAUUACAAAAACAAACUACACAGUACUGAUGACAUCAUAAACUGAGGAAACACAGGGCUUAGAUUCACAGAGGAGGACCAUUAAAUAAACAUAAAACAAUGAGGGAAUCAAGGACAGCACCUGGUGAUCAGUGGUUCCUAUUUAAAAAGAGAGAGAGAGAGAGAGAGAGAGAGAGAGAGAAACCGGAGGUUGUGCCCCAAUCAGGGCUGCUUGAUAUGAAAAAAAAAAGGACAGGAAAGUUUUUUAUAUACAUUUAUCAAAUGGCUUGAAUAGCGCUAUUUGGAAAGAAUCAGACACUCUUUUAUCAAUCCAGGCUAGAGUCAGUUAUCUAACAUUAUUAGUAAUGCA
ensembl:lncRNA